rnacentral:rRNA from 1 species
AUGCACGCUGGCGGCGUGCCUAAUACCUGCAAGUCGAGCGAACAGACGAGGAGCUUGCUCCUUUGACGUUAGCGGCGGACGGGUGAGUAACACGUGGAUAACCUACCUAUAAGACUGGGAUAACUUCGGGAAACCGGAGCUAAUACCGGAUAACAUGUUGAACCGCAUGGUUCAACAGUGAAAGACGGUCUUGCUGUCACUUAUAGAUGGAUCCGCGCCGCAUUAGCUAGUUGGUAAGGUAACGGCUUACCAAGGCAACGAUGCGUAGCCGACCUGAGAGGGUGAUCGGCCACACUGGAACUGAGACACGGUCCAGACUCCUACGGGAGGCAGCAGUAGGGAAUCUUCCGCAAUGGGCGAAAGCCUGACGGAGCAACGCCGCGUGAGUGAAGAAGGUCUUCGGAUCGUAAAACUCUGUUAUUAGGGAAGAACAAAUGUGUAAGUAACUAUGCACGUCUUGACGGUACCUAAUCAGAAAGCCACGGCUAACUACGUG